UACGUAGGAGGCAAGCGUUGUCCGGAAUCACUGGGCGUAAAGAGCGUGUAGGCGGUCUGCCAAGUCUGUUGUGAAAGCCCCGGGCUCAACCUGGGAAUGGCAAUGGAUACUGGCAGGCUAGAGUGCGGUAGAGGGUAGUGGAAUUCCCGGUGUAGCGGUGAAAUGCGUAGAGAUCGGGAGGAACACCAGUGGCGAAGGCGGCUACCUGGACCAGCACUGACACUGAGGCACGAAAGCGUGGGGAGCAAACAGGG
rnacentral:rRNA from 1 species